ACCGGGCGAGGACGGUCGCGACCAAGAACUGGCCCAUGAGCGCUCCUACGCCCCCUCCAAUGGAGCCGGACCCGCGGUGGCGGAGACGAGGGUGGCGCCCAACUCGUCUGGACUGGAGUGCGUUCCUGAGCGUUUCUUGGUUUCCUCUUGCGCAGUUCAACUCGUUGCGCGCGGGAGAGGCGAUGCAUAGGAAGGAACGGGACCUCCAGGCCUAAGAAAGUUGAAGUGCGAAGCCUUGAAGCCAAUUGUGUGAAGCUCUACUUAUCCAAGAAUGCAUAUUAUAUAUUGCAAUAAUAGACAUAUCUGCUUUGUAAUAGAUUGGAAAAAUUGUAAUAUACUACCUUCGUGUUAAUUUGAUGAAUUUCACAUGUCCUUUCUGCUCUAUUUGAAA